rnacentral:rRNA from 1 species
AUUGAACGCUGGCGGCAGGCCUAACACAUGCAAGUCGAGCGGAUGAAGGGAGCUUGCUCCUGGAUUCAGCGGCGGACGGGUGAGUAAUGCCCAGGAAUCUGCCUGGUAGUGGGGGAUAACGUCCGGAAACGGGCGCUAAUACCGCAUACGUCCUGAGGGAGAAAGUGGGGGAUCUUCGGACCUCACGCUAUCAGAUGAGCCUAGGUCGGAUUAGCUAGUUGGUGGGGUAAAGGCCUACAAGGCGACGAUCCGUAACUGGUCUUAGAGGAUGAUCAGUCACACUGGAACUGAGACACGGUCCAGACUCCUACGGGAGGCAGCAGUGGGGAAUAUUGGACAAUGGGCGAAAGCCUGAUCCAGCCAUGCCGCGUGUGUGAAGAAGGUCUUCGGAUUGUAAAGCACUUUAAGUUGGGAGGAAGGGCAGUAAGUUAAUACCUUGCUGUUUUGACGUUACCAACAGAAUAAGCACCGGCUAACUUCGUG